GUUGGGUUUGAGAAUUUAAAGAAUUAAAAAGUUUUUUUUCUAGCAGUUAUUCUCGAAAUUACCUACGCAAGCUACAUAUUUUUAAAAAUAUUUGAGCUUUAUCUAACAGGGAGUAAAAAAGAACAGCCACACACACAGCAUACUCACCCUCGCUUCAGUUUUUUAAUGACCGUAUUUGUCCUAUUAGAAUCGAAAUAAUUCAUGGAAG
rnacentral:lncRNA from 1 species